rnacentral:misc_RNA from 1 species
GGAAGGAUCAUUAACAAAUCAUCAAAAACAACCCCGUGUCAAUGUCUUCUUUCCCUUGGUGUGUGGUAGUUGUUGGAGAUGUCGAGGCAGUAAUAUAUAUAUAUUAUUCAUUCUUCAUCUCCUCUCUCCCCCUCUCAAGGGAAACGAUUGCUUAUUUAAUUAAUGACUAUCAAUAUGACAGCCUUAGAUCAUUAUUAUUAAAAUUUUAAACAACUUUUAACAAUGGAUCUCUUGGCUCUUGCAACGAUGAAGAACGCAGCAAACUGCGAAAAGUAAUGUGAACUGCACUCUUCGUGAAUCAUUCAAUUUUUGAACGCACCUUGCACCUUUUGGCUCUCGUCAAAAGGUAUACUUGUUUGAGUAUCAUAUCAACUAAACUCACACGGUUCCUUCUCUCUCUCUCUCUCGCGAGGGGCAGAGAAUGGAUGGGAUGUGGAUUUUGAGCUUCUGAGUGUGUGAAAUAUCUCAUUCAGCUGCUUUAAAAGUAGGCUUUGGAGAGAGACUCGAGGCCAGACAAGUCUCGUGGGAUAAUAUCCUAACAUGAGGCAGGCCUGCGAGGUGUCUCUUAUUUAAUAAAAACAAAGCAAAACGUCCAUUCAAUUGGACACACAAAGAUUUUGAAAAGUUGAUCUCAAAUCAAGUAAGAUGACCCGCUGAACUUAAGCAUAUCAGUAAGCGGAGGAAAAGAAACUAACAAGGAUUCCCUUAGUAACGGCGAGUGAAGUGGGAAAAGCUCAAAUUUAAAAUCUGAUAGUCGUUGACUAUCCGAAUUGUAUUUGAAAGAGCUAUCAUGUGCCAACAGUGCGCAUGGUCCAAGUCCUUUGGAAAAAGGCAUCAUAGAGGGUGAUAAUCCCGUCUAGAUCAUGACCUGAAGGCAAUAUCAUGAUAGCUCAAAGAGUCGGGUUGUUUGGGAAUGCAGCCCAAAAUGGGUGGUACAUUUCAUCUAAAGCUAAAUAAUGGCAAGAGACCGAUAGCGAACAAGUACCGUGAGGGAAAGAUGAAAAGAACUUUGAAAAGAGAGUUAAAUAGUACGUGAAAUUGUUAAAAGGGAAGCGAUUGAGACCAGUGAUGCAGGGCUCACUUCAACUUAGCCUUCACGGCUGAGCUUAUGGUGAUCUCGCAAGUCGACUCUCAUUUUAGCCUUUGGACAAGACAUUGGGGAAGGUGGCUCUCCCUCGGGAGACGCUUUAUAGACCCAUUGGGAUACAAAGGUGUGCUAUAAUAAGAUGAGAAACCACGGGCCUUCGCAUCAGAAUGGAUCCUCUUUAGGCUCAAUUCUGAUUGAAGGAUCCCAAGUCGACAAAAUGGUCUUAAACGACCCGUCUUGAAACACGGACCAAGGAGUCUAACAACUAUGCGAGUAUUUGAGUGGCAAACUCGAAUGCGUAAAGAAAUUGAAUGCAGUUUGGGAUCAGGGAUUUUCUAAUUCCUGUGCACCAUAGGCCAGUUCUUGUCUUUGACUUGGAUUGAGCUAGAGCAUAGCUGCUAGGACCCGAAAGAUGGUGAACUAUGCCUGAAUAGGGUGAAGCCAGAGGAAACUCUGGUGGAGGCUCGUAGCGAUUCUGACGUGCAAAUCGAUCGUCAAAUUUGGGUAUAGGGGCGAAAGACUAAUCGAACCAUCUAGUAGCUGGUUCCCUC